rnacentral:rRNA from 1 species
UGGAUNUCGAGNGGGACAGAUGGNNACUUGCUCCCUGAUGUUAGCGGCGGACGGGUGAGUAACACGUGGGUAACCUGCCUGUAAGACUGGGAUAACUCCGGGAAACCGGGGCUAAUACCGGAUGCUUGAUUGAACCGCAUGGUUCAAUUAUAAAAGGUGGCUUUUAGCUACCACUUACAGAUGGACCCGCGGCGCAUUAGCUAGUUGGUGAGGUAACGGCUCACCAAGGCAACGAUGCGUAGCCGACCUGAGAGGGUGAUCGGCCACACUGGGACUGAGACACGGCCCAGACUCCUACGGGAGGCAGCAGUAGGGAAUCUUCCGCAAUGGACGAAAGUCUGACGGAGCAACGCCGCGUGAGUGAUGAAGGUUUUCGGAUCGUAAAACUCUGUUGUUAGGGAAGAACAAGUACCGUUCGAAUAGGGCGGUACCUUGACGGUACCUAACCAGAAAGCCACGGCUAACUACGUGCCAGCAGCCGCGGUAAUACGUAGGUGGCAAGCGUUGUCCGGAAUUAUUGGGCGUAAAGCGCGCGCAGGCGGUUUCUUAAGUCUGAUGUGAAAGCCCCCGGCUCAACCGGGGAGGGUCAUUGGAAACUGGGGAACUUGAGUGCAGAAGAGGAGAGUGGAAUUCCACGUGUAGCGGUGAAAUGCGUAGAGAUGUGGAGGAACACCAGUGGCGAAGGCGACUCUCUGGUCUGUAACUGACGCUGAGGCGCGAAAGCGUGGGGAGCGAACAGGAUUAGAUACCCUGGUAGUCCACGCCGUAAACGAUGAGUGCUAAGUGUUAGAGGGUUUCCGCCCUUUAGUGCUGCAGCAAACGCAUUAAGCACUCCGCCUGGGGGAGUACGGGCGCAAGACUGAAACUCAAGGAAUGACGGGGGCCGCNCAAGCGGG